GUGUGUAGGCAACACCUAUACUAAAAUUGGAAUGAUACAGAGAAAAUUAGCUUAGUCCCUGCGUAAGGGAUUUUAGUUUAAUGUUUCAUCAAAAAUCGAGUACUUCU